GGAGGGGAAAGCUCAGCGGCAGAGAGCAUGCUUAGCAUGCACAAGGUCCUGGGUUCAAUCCCCAGUACCUCCA
rnacentral:tRNA from 1 species